rnacentral:lncRNA from 1 species
CUCCUCCCCAUACACACACACACUGGGAAUGCGGCUCUCUGAGUCGCUGACUCAAGCAGCAGAACGACAUCUGCUGUGGAUGUUCAGCAGCACAGCUGACAUGUAUUUGAAAAGUGAAGUGUUGGAGUCAUUUAGGGAGCAGAGCAAUUUCCUCUGUCAGAGAUGAACACUUGGAUUAACAGAGAGUACUUCAUUCCCAUACAAGUUGAUUCUGAAAGUGCCUGAAGCAAAUCUCUUGACCCUGAAGUUGAGGCUAACCACUCCUGGGCAGGGUCAGAAGUUUAAAAAAAUGCUGUUUUAGAGGUUAAUGGGGUGAGGGCUAUUUCCAGCUGAGUCUUCAAAAGUGCUUCAGACUGCAAUUAGCAUUUACUGUUUGCUUAAAAAAAUGACUUCACUCAUUCACAGCCAUUGAUUCUUAUUUAUGAAUAUUACUUUUUAAAGAGACAUUAAAGUAAUAUAAUUAAAAUACUUAAUGUUUAUCUUUAGUCUUUUCCCUUCCUGCUCUAGCAAUACCAAAGUUCUUAAAAUUUUCUGAAUAAGCUAUGUCAUUUUGUUGUUAACCUUUAAACAUGCUGUUUUUUGUUUUAGGAAAACUAUAUUUUCCCCUGCUUCUCUUUGCCUGGCUAAUUCCUACUCGUCUUUUAGGUCUUGAGCUUCCAGCUGGGUGGUGUGUUGCUCCUGUGAGCUCCCUGGACCCCACCCCUUUCCUUACCCGCUACCCACCUUGUCACAUUUUUUCUUGUCUACCAGGACCUUCCACCACUGCACCAUAGCUAUCCACUUGGCACACAUUAAGUACUCAACAGAUAUUUGUUGGAUGGAUGGAUACAUGAAGAAAGGAGGAAUAGAGGAAUGAACAAAUGGGUAAAUCACUUUCCAAUUAGUGGAGGUAGAGUUGCUUUCAAAUGUUAUUGUGCUUCACAAUCACUUGGGGUACUUUGAUAAAAAUGUGUAUUCUCAGGUUCUAACUGCAAGGAUUUUUCAUGACAUAUAGGGGUAUAUGUGGCAAGCCUCAAAUAAUUCAUGACUACAGAACAUAAUAUGUGAGACAGAAAGCGGGGAAGAGCCUGCCAAUGAGCCUGGGUUAGAUCUGCAGUACAGAUGAUGGGGAGCCAGCAAAGGAUUUCAAGGAUGGUCACAUUUCUGGUAUCUGUGUAGAAAUUAGAUUCAGCAUUGAUCUUCAACCUUGGCUGCAUGCUGGAAUUACCUGAAGAACUUUAACAAGACUGGACUAAGAACUCAGUUAAGUGAAGCAAGCAAGAAUUUCCCAAGUGAUGCCAACUCAAAAUGAAUUAUAUCAAGAAAGGAAAAGCAGCUUUUUCAUCUGGAAAGAACUGGAGACCUUGAACCUAGGCAGCAUGUGCCUUGAACCUAGGAUCAGUAAACAACAAGGAUGGAAAAGACAGUAAGAAUUUGGUCAGAUCACCAUAUCUUUCCGUUGUGCCUUUAGAACAAAAGGAAAGAAAAUAUCUCUUUGGCUCACAGAGAAAAUAUGUUGAGAAAUGAAGUACAACCCCUCACUGUGCUGGGCACAGAGCAGGUGCUCGGUAAAUAAAUAGUGUACGUGUUCGCUGAGUAACAUUUGACUUGAAUUGCCUUUAAGCACUUUGAAUGAUCCAGUGGUAUUUAUGGACCUCCCAGGCACAGCCCUGCACCAGCUUUCUCAGAGUAGUGUCUCCAUACAGGCAAGCCUUUUAAUCCCCAGUAAAACAAAAAGAUGGCGAUAAAUAUUCAGUAUCUUAAAAAUUUAAGUAAAUAUGCAGUGUCCUACCUCUCACUCACAUCGCAAAUGAUCUUAGUUUGUUCCUUGGAGAGGAACCAAAUGCUUUAGUGGAUGGUAGCACAUUCUCUCUCCCUUUGCUUGUAUAGACCUGACCUAACUUAAAAAUAAAUGUUUAGUUAAGA